UUUGGUUAUAUACUCAGAAGUGGGAUUGCUGGAUCAUAUGGUAGUUCUAUCUUUAAUUUUUAGAGGAAACACCAUGCUGUUUUCUAUACUGGCUAUAUCAGUUUAUACUUCAACGAACAGACAAUACAGGUUUUUUUA